rnacentral:rRNA from 1 species
CCUACGGGAGGCAGCAGUAGGGAAUAUUGGACAAUGGACGCAAGUCUGAUCCAGCCAUCCCGCGUGAAGGAUUAAGGCCCUAUGGGUUGUAAACUUCUUUUCUUUGGGAAUAAAAAGCGGUAUUCAUAUCGCCUUGAAGGUACCAGAGGAAUAAGCACCGGCUAACUCCGUGCCAGCAGCCGCGGUAAUACGGAGGGUGCAAGCGUUAUCCGGAUUCACUGGGUUUAAAGGGUGCGUAGGUGGCUUUGUAAGUCAGCGGUGAAAGCCUGGAGCUCAACUCCAGAAUUGCCAUUGAUACUGCAGAGCUUGAAUCAAGUUGAGGUGGAUGGAAUAUUACAUGUAGCGGUGAAAUGCUUAGAUAUGUAAUAGAACACCGAUUGCGAAGGCAGUUCACUAAGCUUGUAUUGACACUGAGGCACGAAAGCGUGGGGAUCAAACAGGAUUAGAUACCCUGGUAGUCCACGCCCUAAACGAUGCAAACUCGACAUUAGCGAUAUACAGUUAGUGUCCAAGCGAAAGCGUUAAGUUUGCCGACGNGGUAAGGUACGACGCGAGUAGUUAAGUUAAAUAGAGUUGNGNGNGAGAGNGCGAGGACGACGACGAGGGAGGAGG